rnacentral:rRNA from 1 species
AGAGUUUGAUCAUGGCUCAGGACGAACGCUGGCGGCGCGCUUAACACAUGCAAGUCGAACGGAAAGGCCCUUCGGGGUACUCGAGUGGCGAACGGGUGAGUAACACGUGGGUGAUCUGCCCUGCACUCUGGGAUAAGCCUGGGAAACUGGGUCUAAUACCGGAUAGGACCGCAUGCUUCAUGGUGUGUGGUGCAAAGCUUUUGCGGUGUGGGAUGAGCCCGCGGCCUAUCAGCUUGUUGGUGGGGUAAUGGCCUACCAAGGUGACGACGGGUAGCCGGCCUGAGAGGGUGACCGGCCACACUGGGACUGAGAUACGGCCCAGACUCCUACGGGAGGCAGCAGUGGGGAAUAUUGCACAAUGGGCGCAAGCCUGAUGCAGCGACGCCGCGUGAGGGAUGACGGCCUUCGGGUUGUAAACCUCUUUCAGUAGGGACGAAGCGAAAGUGACGGUACCUACAGAAGAAGGACCGGCCAACUACGUGCCAGCAGCCGCGGUAAUACGUAGGGUCCGAGCGUUGUCCGGAAUUACUGGGCGUAAAGAGCUCGUAGGUGGUUUGUCGCGUUGUUCGUGAAAACUCACAGCUUAACUGUGGGCGUGCGGGCGAUACGGGCAGACUAGAGUACUGCAGGGGAGACUGGAAUUCCUGGUGUAGCGGUGGAAUGCGCAGAUAUCAGGAGGAACACCGGUGGCGAAGGCGGGUCUCUGGGCAGUAACUGACGCUGAGGAGCGAAAGCGUGGGUAGCGAACAGGAUUAGAUACCCUGGUAGUCCAA